UGGGGAAUAUUGGGCAAUGGGGGAAACCCUGACCCAGCAACGCCGCGUGAGGGAAGAAGGUUUUCGGAUCGUAAACCUCUGUCCUCAGGGACGAAGAAGUGACGGUACCUGAGGAGGAAGCCCCGGCUAACUACGUGCCAGCAGCCGCGGUAAUACGUAGGGGGCAAGCGUUGUCCGGAAUGAUUGGGCGUAAAGGGCGCGUAGGCGGCCUGUUAAGUCUGGAGUGAAAGUCCUGCUUUCAAGGUGGGAAUUGCUUUGGAAACUGGUUGGCUUGAGUGCGGAAGAGGUAAGUGGAAUUCCCAGUGUAGCGGUGAAAUGCGUAGAGAUUGGGAGGAACACCAGUGGCGAAGGCGACUUACUGGGCCGUAACUGACGCUGAGGCGCGAAAGCGUGGGGAGCGAACAGG
rnacentral:rRNA from 2 species